AGAGUUUGAUCCUGGCUCAGGAUGAACGCUGGCGGCGUGCCUAAUACAUGCAAGUCGAACGAGAAGUCUCUGGUUUUAGGACUGGAGGCGGAGAGUGGCGAACGGGUGAGUAACACGUAGGCGACCUGCCCCGGAGAGCGGGACAACCGCGAGAAAUCGCGACUAAUACCGCAUAAGCUCACAGAGAUUAGAGGCUCAGUGAGAAAAGGAUAAACAAACUUUGUUUGUUUGUUCGCUUCGGGAGGGACCUGCGGCCCAUCAGCUAGUUGGUAGGGUAAUGGCCUACCAAGGCGAAGACGGGUAGGGGGCCUGAGAGGGUGGUCCCCCACACGGGCACUGAGACACGGGCCCGACUCCUACGGGAGGCAGCAGUAAGGGAUAUUGCGCAAUGGGCGAAAGCCUGACGCAGCAACGCCGCGUGCACGACGAAUGCCUUCGGGUUGUAAAGUGCUUUUCUGGCUGAAGAGGAAGGACGUAAGCCAGGAAUAAGAGUCGGCUAACUACGUGCCAGCAGCCGCGGUAAAACGUAGGACUCGAGCGUUAUCCGGAGUUACUGGGCGUAAAGCGCGGGCAGGCGGAGGUCUAAGUCUGACGUGAAAGCUCCCGGCUCAACCGGGAGAGGCCGUUGGAGACUGGGCGUCUGGAGGGCAGUAGAGGGGCGUGGAAUUCCGGGUGGAGUGGUGAAAUGCGUAGAGAUCCGGAGGAACACCAGAGGCGAAGGCGGCGCCCUGGGCUGCACCUGACGCUGAGCCGCGAAAGCCAGGGGAGCAAACGGGAUUAGAAACCCCGGUAGUCCUGGCUGUAAACGAUGCCAACUAGGUGUUGGGGGGUAGAGCCCGCAGCGCCGAAGCAAACGCGAUAAGUUGGCCGCCUGGGGAGUACGGUCGCAAGGCUAAAACUCAAAGGAAUUGACGGGGACCCGCACAAGCAGCGGAGCGUGUGGUUUAAUUCGAGGCAACGCGAAGAACCUUACCUGGGUUUGACAUGUUGGUAGUAGGGAACCGAAAGGGGACCGAUCUUCGGAAGCCAUCACAGGUGCUGCAUGGCUGUCGUCAGCUCGUGCCGUGAGGUGUUAGGUUAAGUCCUGUAACGAGCGCAACCCUUACUGCCAGUUACAAGUGUCUGGCGGGACUGCCGGUGAAAGCCGGAGGAAGGUGGGGAUGACGUCAAGUCAGCAUGGCCUUUAUAUCCAGGGCGACACACACGCUACAAUGGCCGGUACAAUGGGCAGCCAAACCGCGAGGUGGAGCGAAUCUCACAAAGCCGGUCGUAGUUCGAAUUGCAGGCUGCAACUCGCCUGCAUGAAGUCGGAGUUGCUAGUAACCGCGCAUCAGCCACGGUGCGGUGAAUACGUUCCCGGGUCUUGUACACACCGCCCGUCACGUCAUGGAAGCUGGCAACACCUGAAGUCGGUGAGCUAACCGCAAGGAGGCAACUGCCGAAGGUGGGGCUGGUGACUGGGACGAAGUCGUAACAAGGUA
rnacentral:rRNA from 1 species